rnacentral:tRNA from 1 species
GAGGGUAUUGCUCAGUGGUAGAGCACAUGCUUAACAUGCACAAGGCCCUGGGUUCAAUUCCCAGUACCGCCU